rnacentral:rRNA from 1 species
GACCCAGACUCCUACGGGAGGCAGCAGUGGGGAAUAUUGCACAAUGGGGGAAACCCUGAUGCAGCGACGCCGCGUGAGCGAAGAAGUACCUCGGUAUGUAAAGCUCUAUCAGCAGGGAAGAAGAUGACGGUACCUGACCAAGAAGCCCCGGCUAACUACGUGCCAGCAGCCGCGGUAAUACGUAGGGGGCAAGCGUUAUCCGGAUUUACUGGGUGUAAAGGGGGCGCAGACGGCGAUGCAAGCCAGGAGUGAAAGCCCGGGGCCCAACCCCGGGACUGCUCUUGGAACUGCGCGGCUGGAGUGCAGGAGGGGCAGGCGGAAUUCCCGGUGUAGCGGUGAAAUGCGUAGAUAUCAGGAGGAACACCAGUGGCGAAGGCGUCUUACUGGACCGAAACUGACGUUGAGGCUCGAAAGCGUGGGGAGCAAACAGGAUUAGAUACCCUCGUAC